UACAGAGGGGGCAAGCGUUGUUCGGAAUUACUGGGCGUAAAGGGCGCGUAGGCGGCCCGCUAAGUCGAACGUGAAAUCCCCGAGCUCAACUCGGGAACUGCGUCCGAUACUGGCGGGCUUGAAUCCGGGAGAGGGAUGCGGAAUUCCAGGUGUAGCGGUGAAAUUCGUAGAUAUUCGCAAGAACACCAGUGGCGAAGGCGGCUCACUGGCCCGAUACUGACGCUGAGGCACGAAAGCGUGGGGAGCAAACAGG
rnacentral:rRNA from 1 species